AACAAAAAAGAAAGAACCGUCAAAACAUAAACAGAGCCGUCAACCUUGCAGUUAGCUUGCUUUAUAGUCUGUCUUUUGCAAAAAAUCUUUAUGCACGCUUUCCUAAUGUCGUGUAUUUACGGCCAGAGGAUCCCUUGUCACGGCACUUAGCUCAAUUGCUAAGCUGUGAGUUGGAGAGCAUAAAUCUGCAAUAAAGAUUAGGACUAAACUGAGAAGUACGCCUCGUCGGGCCUUCGAGUAGAGGUUCCCCCUCGGGGCGACGCAGGACAAAGAGACAGAAUGGCUGAACCUGAAGUCAAAUCUACUGCGCUGAAAGGUGGCUCUGAAGAAAAAGAUCCAGAAGAAGAGCAACACAAGGAGGAAGGUGCCUCUGGAAGUAAAGAGGGACAAACACAGUCUUCAUCUCAAGAUGAUCCCAAAGAAACAGGAGAGGCUUCAGGGGACAAGCCUAUGCCAGAUGUGGAAGGAGGGAUGAGGGCAAACAGAGAGGGAGAGGAGGAGGAGGAGGAGGAAGACACAGACAGCAUGGAUGGAAGCGGUCUUUACUCCCUGACUGAGGAUGGUGACAGAGAGAGCGAGGGAGGCAGACGGGGGAGAGUUAAGGAUAAAGAUCGCGAGAAAAGAGCAGCCAGAAAGAGGAAUAGACCUGGCGGCGGCACCAAUCACUCCUCCAGCUCAGAUGAUGAUGACGAUGACGACGAAGAAGAAGAACAGAAAGAUGAUGAUGAUGACGAUGACGACGACGAUAACGAGGCUAUGGAGGCGUGGCUGGGAGCAGAGGUCCGUGAUAUGCGUGCCCCCAUAUGGAGGUCGAUACCCUCGCUGCGCUCCAGGGAGAUCGGCAGACACACACACCAGUUUGUGAGGCGUGUGUGUGGAGCCCGGGGUCUGGUGCAGCGGCUGGAGCUGCAGGGCCGGCUGGAGAGGCACACGGGCUGCGUCAACACGCUGCACUUCAACCCCUCGGGCACACGCCUGGCUUCGGGCAGCGAUGACCUGCGAGUGGUCAUCUGGGAUUGGGCGAUCCGCCGUGCUGAGCUGGAGUUUGACAGUGGCCACAAGAGCAAUGUCUUUCAGGCAAAGUUCCUGCCUCACAGUGGAGACUCCACCUUGGCCAUGUGUGCUCGAGAUGGGCAGAUCAGAGUGGCGGAGCUCUCUGCCACACAGCGCUGCAAGAACACCAAGCGGGUAGCUCAGCAUAAAGGGGCGGCACACAAGCUGGCCCUGGAGCCAGACUCCCCCUGCUCCUUUCUGUCUGCGGGGGAGGACGCUGUGGUGUUUGGUAUUGACCUGCGCCUUGACCGUCCCGCCAAUAAACUGGUGACCGUAAAGGAGGGGGAUAAAAAAGUGGGCUUGUACACCAUCUAUGUCAACCCAGCGAAGACACAACACUUUGCUGUGGGAGGAAGGGAUCAGUAUGUGAGGAUCUAUGACCAGAGGAAGAUCAAUGAGAACGACAACAAUGGUGUGCUGAAAAAGUUUUGUCCCUCACAUCUGGUAUCCAGUGAGUCCAAAACCAACAUCACCUGCCUUGUGUACAGCCACGAUGGCACAGAGCUGCUGAUCAGUUACAACGAUGAGGACAUCUACCUGUUUGACUCCAACCACAGUGACGGGGCAGACUAUCGCAGGAGAUACAAGGGUCACCGCAAUAAUGCUACAGUGAAGGGGGUGAACUUCUAUGGGCCGUGCAGUGAGUUUGUGGUCAGUGGCAGUGACUGCGGACACAUCUACCUGUGGGACAAGAACUCUGCUCGCAUUGUCCAGUUUAUGGAGGGAGACAGGGGAGGAGUGGUGAACUGUUUGGAGCCACACCCCCACCUGCCAGGCAUGGCCACCAGUGGGCUGGACCACGACGUCAAACUGUGGGCCCCCACAGCUGAAUGCCCCACUGGACUCAAGGGUCUGAAAGAGGUGAUGAAGAAGAACAAGCGGGAGCGAGAUGAAGACAGUGUUCGUCAUGGCGACCAGUACGACACCCAGCUGCUGUGGUUCCUGAUGAGACACAUGAGGAACAGAAGGCCUCCCAGGGCCCGCCGUGAGGGUGCUGACGCAGACACAGACGAGUCGUGGAGCUCUCCAGAUUCCUCCGAUGAAGAGGAGGGAGGUCCAGACAACGUCCAGUGCAUGUCCUCCUGAGCUACACAUACUUAGACCCACACACACACACACACGCAUACAUACACACACACACACACACUGUAUUGCCAUUGAAUUGAUGCACAUAGGCAAGCACUAUUGACACACUGGCACACUCAAACACAGACGAGCCACAGACUUGCUUUUUGUUUUUCCUCAUACAGUCUCACAGAGAUGAAAACACACAUUUACUUAAACAUACUUUUGAAGAAGAGAUGCUUAACGCCUGGUUUCCCAGCAGUUGUGUGUGUGCAAAUGACAACUAAAGACUAUAUACACACUUCCAGAAUCCUGAUUUUGGGGAAUUGUACAAAGAGGUUUAGUGAGUGCUUACACCCCUACGAGCCCCUUGGAGGCUCCUGCUUGUCUAUACAUUAUCUCUAAGCUCUGCCUAGCCCCAGAACAUUGUACUGUGCAUGUGUGGCAACAACCACCUCUUCUUUAGGAACACUGUAGGAAGCUAUACACCACCAGCAGGCGUCCCUUCUCUCUUAGUAACACACCUUCUCUGGAGCUCUCUGUGCUGACGGAGGGAGGGUCAGCAGGGGGUAGAAUGGUACCCUCAAACCAUCCCCUUGAAUGUGACUCCCUUUUAAGAUUUGAACACAGGAGGGAACCCCCAGUGUACUCUGCAUCGCCCCAGUCUCAUAUUGAUUUCUGGCCCUGAGCUUGUGCAGCUAGUUUCAUUUUUCACACACUAAUUCCCCACCCCCCCCCCUGGAGGACUACUACAUCCCUACAUGCUGCAUCACCAGACAUGCUACUUCCUCCCCCUCCUCUCUGCAUCACCCCCUCCCCUUCACUACUGAGUGCACUUUGAAUCAGGGAAGCUUUUAGUUUGAGACAAAGACAAAAUGUGCACCGAGUGUGAUUUUGAGGGGGGAAGAGCUUUUGUCUUGUAUCCUUCAUUGGAGACCCCACAGUGAAGUUUAGUUAAUUUCUAUUGAUUAUUUGAGUGGGGAGAUAUUUUGCACUUAAAGGUUUUUUGACUGAGGAUUGCUUCCACCAAUCUUCCCCCCUCCUCCUCCUCCUCCCUCCUCCAUCUUUGAAAGGAAAGAUUAAAUGUUGAGGCAAAUCGCAUUGGAUGGUGAGGGGAUCUGACGUUUAAAACAAAAAAGCAAGAUUCAACCUGGAUUGAUCCCGAUUUAAAAUGUGAAAAUUGAGAUUGGAGUUAUAACCACGUGGUUCCCCAAAAUCCAUCUGUGACGCUAAAAGUAAAAAAUAAUUGUCUCAACGACAAAUAUUAGACACAUUUGAUCUAAGUCUUGGUGAAGGUUAGCACACCACCUGUUAGGAGGGGGGGGGGGUCAAUGUUCUUGCCAGUCAUUUGUUGUGAGAGCGAUAAAGUCCAGCUUUUCUCAUUUUCUAUGAGAACUCAUAGUUGAAUUUAUAUGUACAUAUAUAAAUAUAUAUUAAAACUGUAAAAAAAAAAAAAUUACGCAAAUGCUGUUUGACUCCAAAAAAAAUAAAAAAGAUGUCAAAUAAUUUGAUUGGUAUUGAUGCAGAGGUUUAUAUUCUAUAUGAGGACAAAGUACUUUUAAAAUCAAGAGAAAACGACAUGAGGCACCAUCUUGUUCUAUUUCUUUUUAUGAAUGGCAUCCCUCUGUUAUGAACAGAUCAGCUGUCAUUUCAAGUAUUACAGAUUCUAUUUCUUGUUCAAGGAAAAGGCUAAAUAGUAUUUCCUUUCUAGAUCUUAAUCCAUCAUUUGAGAAAGUUCUAUCCAGAUUUUCCCACUGGCUAUUUUUGGCAACUUGUAUACAUAAGGCGUUAGAUGAACACUUUUUUUGUCCACCACUGCCUAAUAUUGCGUUCUACCAGUUAAGUUGGAAAUAUGUACGAUUCGUGCAAUAAACAAAAAGACAGUGCUUUUGAUGUUGUCAUUU